rnacentral:misc_RNA from 1 species
AACGCACAUUGCGCUGUGCUCGCGCACAGCAUGCCUGUUUGAGUGUCGGCUCCCCAACCUCACCACCCAACCCGCCUCCCUCCUAACCGAAGGGAGGCCGGGGAGGGCUGGUGGACGUGAGCGUUUCAGUCGGCGGCGUGGCCAUCUCGCAUGGUCGGCCGGCGGGCGAAUCGCUUGAAGUGGAGCGGCAACCGUGCGGCGCGCCUCGUCUAAACAGCGAGGCAGCGUGGCAAACGCAACCAGUGUGUUAGCCUCCUCUCGGGGAAGUACCAUUGGCUGCGGCGUGACACGCGUCCGGACGGUCUCUAAUCGCCUUGACGUAAGGAGACUUACUAAUCAAAGCCUCGACCUCAAAUCAGGUAAGACUACCCGCUGAAUUUAA